AACCUGGUUGAUCCUGCCAGUAGUCAUAUGCUUGUCUCAAAGAUUAAGCCAUGCAUGUCUAAGUAUAAGCAAUCAUACUGUGAAACUGCGAAUGGCUCAUUAAAUCAGUUAUAGUUUAUUUGAUAGUACCUUUACCUGGAUAACUGUGGUAAUUCUAGAGCUAAUACAUGCUAAAAACCCCAACUUCGGGAGGGGUGUAUUUAUUAGAUAAAAAACCAAUGCCCUUCGGGGCUCUUUGGUGAUUCAUGAUAACUAAACGAAUCGCAUGGCCUUGCGCCGGCGAUGGUUCAUUCAAAUUUCUGCCCUAUCAACUUUCGAUGGUAAGGUAGUGGCUUACCAUGGUUUCAACGGGUAACGGGGAAUUAGGGUUCUAUUCCGGAGAGGGAGCCUGAGAAACGGCUACCACAUCCAAGGAAGGCAGCAGGCGCGCAAAUUACCCAAUCCCAAUACGGGGAGGUAGUGACAAUAAAUACUGAUACGGGGCUCUUUCGGGUCUCGUAAUUGGAAUGAGUGCAAUCUAAAUCCCUUAACGAGGAACAAUUGGAGGGCAAGUCUGGUGCCAGCAGCCGCGGUAAUUCCAGCUCCAAUAGCGUAUAUUAAAGUUGUUGCCGUUAAAAAGCUCGUAGUUGAACCUUGGACCUGGCUGAUCUGUCCUCCUAAUCGAGCGUACGGAUUCGGUCGGGUCUUUCCUUCUGGGGAACCCUAUGUCCUUCAUUGGGUGUAGUGGGGAACCAGGACUUUUACCUUGAAAAAAUUAGAGUGUCCAAAGCAGGCCUUUGCUCGAAUACAUUAGCAKGGAAUAAUAGAAUAGGA
rnacentral:rRNA from 1 species